GACGUAGGAGGCGAGCGUUGUCCGGAUUCAUUGGGCGUAAAGAGCACGCAGGCGGUUUGGCAAGUCGGAUGUGAAAACCCGGAGCUCAACUCCGGACCUGCAUCUGAUACUGCCCGACUAGAGGUAGGUAGGGGAGAUCGGAAUUCCUGGUGUAGCGGUGAAAUGCGCAGAUAUCAGGAGGAACACCGGUGGCGAAGGCGGAUCUCUGGGCCUUACCUGACGCUCAGGUGCGAAAGCUAGGGGAGCGAACAGG
rnacentral:rRNA from 1 species